CAGACACAUGGCCUUGAACUCGUAAUAACUCACGCAUGUAAGCCACAAUAACUUCAUUUGCAUGCAACCACCUUGAAUGAAUGGUCUCAGUAAAUGUGUCAUUUAUUCUCAAUAUUCUGGAGUGCUGGAAAAAAUGUGGAGUCAAAGGAUCCCUCAGUCUGCUGGUGUGACCUGGGGCACCCAUCCCUGUUCCCUCUCCUCUUACAUGGGAUAAAACCCCAGCGGAGCCGUGUCUCUGGAUCAUUGUGAUGGAUUAGGUGUUCUGCUGAGAGCUGGGCUGUCUGCUUAGAAAUCAGCCUCCAGGCCUGACUUUUGGCCUCUGCCCCGCCUGUGGAGUCGGUGCGGGCUCCAGAUUCCAGAGGCGAAGGAUACAUCCUAGUGCCAGCUCAGAUCUGAAACAGGCGUGCCCUUCGUUUUCAGCCAAUGCGGAAGAUGUCUAUUUGUGCUGCACGGCCCAGAAGGGAACUGCCAGUUCAGAAAAUGUCGGGUCAACUUGAUGCUCCCGGUUGACAUUUGGCACUGGAUUGGGGGAGCAGGAAGGAAGGGGAGGAAAAGGACGUGGAGAAGAACCUAGGAAGGAUUCGUAUUUUCGUGCUUUUCUUCUUUUCUCCUCUCCUCCUCUUCCAGGCUGCUCCAGGCUGACGGGAAGGGAAAGCCAAGUAGCUGGGUUUGAUGGGGCCCUG
rnacentral:lncRNA from 1 species